rnacentral:misc_RNA from 1 species
UUUCCGUAGGUGAACCUGCGGAAGGAUCAUUAAUGUGUUUGGGCCUCACGGCUCUUCAUUCCGACGCUGUGCGCCUUCGGGCUGCACGCUGAGGGAGCAUAUAUCCACCCCUGUGCACACACACGGUGGCGAGCUGGGUAACGGCUCGCCGCUGAUCUUCACACACGUCUAAAAGUCAGUGUAUGUUUAUUUGAGAUAAAAACACAACUUUCAGCAACGGAUCUCUUGGCUCUC